GACGAACGCUGGCGGCGUGCUUAACACAUGCAAGUCGAACGCUGAAGCUCAGCUUUUGUUGGGUGGAUGAGUGGCGAACGGGUGAGUAACACGUGAGUAACCUGCCCCCUUCUUUGGGAUAACGCCCGGAAACGGGUGCUAAUACUGGAUAUUCACUGGUCUUCGCAUGGGGGUUGGUGGAGAGGGUUUUUCUGGUGGGGGAUGGGCUCGCGGCCUAUCAGCUUGUUGGUGGGGUGAUGGCCUACCAAGGCUUUGACGGGUAGCCGGCCUGAGAGGGUGACCGGUCACAUUGGGACUGAGAUACGGCCCAGACUCCUACGGGAGGAAGCAGUGGGGAAUAUUGCACAAUGGGCGCAAGCCUGAUGCAGCGACGCCGCGUGAGGGAUGGAGGCCUUCGGGUUGUGAACCUCUUUCGCUCAUGGUCAAGCCGCAACAAUGGUUGUGGUGAGGGUAGUGGGUAAAGAAGCGCCGGCUAACUACGUG
rnacentral:rRNA from 1 species